GAUGAACGCUAGCGGCAGGCCUAACACAUGCAAGUCGAGGGGUAACUAGAGUGAUAGCAAUAUUACUUUGGCUAGACCGGCGCACGGGUGCGUAACACGUAUGCAACCUACCUUAUACUGGGGAAUAACUUCGAGAAAUCGGCGCUAAUACCCCAUAACAUUGCGAAGAGGCAUCUCUUUGCAAUUAAAGCUCCGGCGGUAUAAGAUGGGCAUGCGUCCAAUUAGCUAGUUGGUGAGGUAACGGCUCACCAAGGCUACGAUUGGUAGGGGUUCUGAGAGGAUGAACCCCCACAGUGGUAAUGAAACACGGACCAGACUCCUACGGGAUGCAGCAGUGGGGAAUAUUGCGCAAUGGACGAAAGUCUGACGCAGCCAUGCCGCGUGCAGGAUGACGGCCCUAUGGGUUGUAAACUGCUUUUGUACGGGAAUAAACCCUUCUACGUGUAGGAGGCUGAAGGUACCGUAAGAAUAAGCACCGGCUAACUCCGUGCCAGCCGCCGCCGUAACAC
rnacentral:rRNA from 1 species